rfam:Desulfobulbaceae bacterium BRH_c16a BRHa_1002676, whole genome shotgun sequence.
GCCCACGUAGCUCAGUUGGUAGAGCGCAUCCUUGGUAAGGAUGAGGUCACCGGUUCGACUCCGGUCGUGGGCU